UUUUUCCUACGGGGGGCAGCAGUGGGGAAUAUUGCACAAUGGGGGAAACCCUGAUGCAGCGACGCCGCGUGAAGGAAGAAGGAUUUCGGUAUGGAAACUUCUAUCAGCAGGGAAGAAAAUGACGGUACCUGACUAAGAAGCCCCGGCUAACUACGUGCCAGCAGCCGCGGUAAUACGUAGGGGGCAAGCGUUAUCCGGAUUUACUGGGUGUAAAGGGAGCGUAGGCGGUUCAGCAAGUCAGAAGUGAAAGCCCGGGGCUC
rnacentral:rRNA from 1 species